UUUUUGUUUUCUUUUUUAAGAAAAAUUGGCGUGCACCAUAUUUCGUUCAUUCUUUAUAAAAAUAAGUUUAGCUGAAAAUACAAAACAUCUAUAUUUUGAAGUUGAAAUUUUGGAUAUCAACUAUUAACUUCUUUACCAUCUGCGCUAGAGACAGUUGGUGACCCUCGAACACGGAGAAAGGUGAGUAGAAUACUACCGAUUGCAAAGGGCUCCGUUGCUAUACAAUAUGUUUUUGAUGAUAGAGCUUUUGAACCGACGAUCGUCACUGCUGAAAAUAAUCUAGAUUACUAGACGUAUCUAAAAAUCAAAUUUUAUAUUUUUUAAUAUUAUUCUCUUGUACAUUAAGUGGACAUAAAAAAAUGAACGGUUAAAAAUAAAUAUUCUUCAAAAAUUGAUGAUAGGAUUCUUCUAAUCGAUAUUAAGAAUAUAAAUCUCAUUUUAAAAUUUUAAAAAUUUUACAACCAAAAUUCAAUUGAUUUAAAUUUUCUUACAUCGUCAAAUGAGCAAACGCCUCAUAUCGGUUAUUAAAAUUAUAAAUUUUGUAACCCUUUGAUUAAUAAGUCAAUAAUGUCAAAAAAAAUAGAAAUUUAAUUGCUACAUACUCCAAGUAGUAUAUAUGAUGUUCAAUACUGUCGAUCGUCAAUUUGGAGACUCCAUCAUUAAAAUAAAUCGAUAGCAAUGAAGGCGCCGUUUACUAUUUGAUAAUAUUCUAGCCCAACUCUCUCUCCUUCUAUAUAGAGAGAGAGUAAGAGAGAGAGGCAUUAAGAAUGCAAACG
rnacentral:lncRNA from 1 species